ACUCCUACGGGAGGCAGCAGUGGGGAAUAUUGGACAAUGGGCGAAAGCCUGAUCCAGCAAUGCCGCGUGAGUGAUGAAGGCCUUAGGGGUUGUAAAGCUCUUUUACCCGGGAAGAUAAUGACUGUACCGGGGAGAAUAACGCCCCGGCUAACUCCGUGCCAGCAGCCGCGGUAAUACGGGAGGGGGCUAGCGUUGUUCGGAAUUACUGGGCGUAAAGCGCACGUAGGCGGCUUUGUAAGUCAGAGGUGAAAGCCUGGAGCUCAACUCCAGAACUGCCUUUGAGACUGCAUCGCUUGAAUCCAGGAGAGGUGAGUGGAAUUCCGAGUGUAGAGGUGAAAUUCGUAGAUAUUCGGAAGAACACCAGUGGCGAAGGCGGCUCACUGGACUGGUAUUGACGCUGAGGUGCGAAAGCGUGGGGAGCAAACAGGAUUAGAUACCC
rnacentral:rRNA from 1 species